rnacentral:RNase_P_RNA from 1 species
CCAGGGGACCGGGCGGCCGCGGCUCACUUCGGUGAGGCGAGGAAAGUCCGGGCUCCACGGAACAACGGUGCCGGGUAACGCCCGGCGGCUUCUGCUUCGGCAGAAGUCAGGGAUAGUGCCACAGAAAGCAUACCGCCCGGCUUCGGACGGGUAAGGUCGAAAGGGUGCGGCAAGAGCGCACCGCGUCGCUGGCAACAGUGGCGGCACGGUAAACCCCACCGGGUGCAAGACCGAAUAGGGGCGGCAUAUGGGGCAGUUCCGCCUCGUCGCCCGGGUUGGUCGCUGGAGGCGAAGGGCAACCUUCGUCCUAGAGGAAUGGUCGCCGCUCUCCGUAACGCUCGGGGAGUACAGAACCCGGCUUACAGGUCCCCUGGCAUU